AUGGAGCCCAGACCAACCUUCAUGAGUCUGAAUGGCUCCUUCAUCAGGUAAGUGGAUCUGGAGAAGAGGAGACUGUGAUGUGGCCAGACUGGAACCAUCACUUGAUAAGGAAGAGCAAACUCCAUGGUGACACUUGAUGACCUUGAUGACCUUGUCCAGAUCCUGUUGACACUUAUCAAUAUGCAGAGAUGCAGCUGAGCAAAUGACCACAAUCCCUCUAUGACCUGUUACAGAUUGGCAACCUGGACAUCCUGGCUGUAAAUUUUUACCGUUGGACUGGGACUAGUAGUGUCGGCCACUCCUGGUCCUCGUCAUUUCUCCUCACUCGGAGACUGGAUGAGACCUUUUAUUCACGUUGACUCACUGCUUUAGGUACGGG
rnacentral:lncRNA from 1 species